UACGAAGGGGGCUAGCGUUGUUCGGAAUUACUGGGCGUAAAGGGCGCGCAGGCGGUCCCUCAAGUCAGGCGUGAAAGCCCCGGGCUCAACCUGGGAACUGCGCUUGAGACUGCGGGACUGGAGUUCGGGAGAGGAGAGCGGAAUUCCCAGUGUAGAGGUGAAAUUCGUAGAUAUCAUCAGGAACACCAGAGGCGAAGGCGGCUCACUGGGUCUCUUCUGACGCUGAGGAACGAAAGCUAGGGGAGCAAACGGG
rnacentral:rRNA from 1 species